AAUAGCCCUGCCUUUGCACAGGAGAGAGAAAAAGUAAGCAAGCAAACAGUCACACAACAGCAAGAAUACCAGGGCCAUGAAGAGGAAGUGAGGGAGGCUGCCAUUCUAGAAAGGGCAGCAGGGGCUGUGGAAGGUGGAGAGUGCGACUCAAGGAGCAUCAUGGGAGAAAAAGAGAGUGUUGCUCAAAAGCCAAGCAGCCGGAGCUGAGCAGAGGCUCUUUUUGGAAACUUCGUUGGAUACUCAGCACACAAUCAUCACAGGUGUGUGCUAUUCUCCAGGUGCUGGCUCGGUGCAGAAGCACUCACUCCUCAGCCCUCAAGAAGUUGACCAACAACAGGUCACGAUGUUGUCUGCCUCCAGAAGAUGUUGUCAACCCACCCCUGGGAGAUGCCACCUUUACAUCUGAUGACUGGUUAAUACCAAAAACAAGAAGAGCUCAGGCUUCACACUGAAAAUCCUCCUCAGCUCUAGAGUUUCCUGGGGCAUAGCUGGGACUGCUGUCCAGCUGCGUCUCAGAUUAACUUCUCCUUCUGUCCCCUCCGUCGUACAUCAUGAACUUUACCAAUGCAAUUCCAGCCUGCACAACUCUACCUUGGAUUCUGGUCACAGACACCAGUCCAAAACAAUGCCCA
rnacentral:lncRNA from 1 species